rnacentral:rRNA from 1 species
AUAGCUGGUUAUUCAAGAAAAGAAUUUAAGUUCGACCUAAAAUCAAUCUAAUACAAAUAAAUAAUAAUUAUAAUUUUAGAGUAAUUCAAAUAAGGUACAGCCUAUUUGAAAAAGGAUACAACCUAAACUACAGGGUAAUUUAAAAUUACAUUUAACAAAGUGAGCCUAAAAGCAGCUAUCUUUCAAAAAGCGUCAAAGCUUAAUCGAGUUAUUAAUUAAUUCCAACUAUGUCUAAGAACCCUUAAACAAUACUGAAUAAUUCUAUACCACUAUAGAAGAUUUUAUGUUAAAACUAGUAACAAGAAGAAGAACUUCUUACAUAAUGCAAGUGUAAAUCAGACAGAACAUCUCACUGAUAAUUAACACCAAUGAAAUAAAGUAGCAACUUAACAAGAAAACCCUACUAAAUUUUGUGUUAACCUGACACAAGAGCAUUCCAAAAAAGAUUAAAAGAAAAAGAAGGAACUCGGCAAAUUCUAACCUCGCCUGUUUACCAAAAACAUCGCCUCUUGAAUCAAAUAUAAGAGGUCCAGCCUGCCCAGUGACUCUGUUCAACGGCCGCGGUAUCCUAACCGUGCGAAGGUAGCGUAAUCACUUGUUCUUUAAAUGAGGACUAGUAUGAAUGGCACCACGAAGGUUUUACUGUCUCCUCUUUCUAAUCAGUGAAACUAAUCUUCCCGUGAAGAAGCGGGAAUAAAUUUAUAAGACGAGAAGACCCUAUGGAGCUUUAAACCAUGUAACACUUGCACUAAUUCAAUGCAAAUUUCAGAAAAAUCUAUUUUACUAAUGCAAGAUCAUUACUAGUUUUAGGUUGGGGUGACCGCGGAGAAAAAAAUAACCUCCACAUUGAAAGGACAACUCUCCUGAGCAAAGAACAACGCCUCCAUGCACCAUUACAAUGACAUUAAUUGACCCAAUAUUUUUGAUCAACGAACCAAGUUACCCUAGGGAUAACAGCGCAAUCCACUUCAAGAGCUCCUAUCGACAAGUGGGUUUACGACCUCGAUGUUGGAUCAGGGUACCCCGGUGGUGCAGCCGCUACCAAAGGUUCGUUUGUUCAACGAUUAAAACCCU